rnacentral:ncRNA from 1 species
CCUCCACUCUCCCCGCACAGGAGGGUGGACCGAGGUGCCGGCGCUCUCUGCCCUGACUGCGGCGGAACCUCUCCCACGGCCGAACGGGACCGCACACCCGUCGGCCGAGCAACUCCGGGCUGCGGUGCCGGACGGGUUGAGGGUCCCGUCGCGGCGC